UAAAAGUAAAGUUAUGAAAUUAGGCUAAUAAUUAAAUUAGUCCAAACACAAUAAAAACAUGAACACACAAGGAAUAACAGAUAUAAGGUAAUAAGCUAGUGGGACAAAAACUAAACUAAACCCACUUGCCUACCUUUUCUUCUAUAAAUAACCUACAAAAGGACUAUGCUAAUUAAGACAAGCAAAGUUUAAUUUCUGAUAUAUACAUACAUACAUAUAAUUUAACCAAGUUCUCCUUUUUUUUCCUUCUUCUUCUUCCAUAGUUUCAGUGUAUGAAUCUUUGGUGCAGGUGGAGAGUUCCAAAGGGAUCGCAUUGAUCCAAUGUUCGUCUUGUCUUAUUGGUGAUGUUGGAGUGAUCAAUUCCCAAUCGAUUAUUGGAUCGUGCGAUCCCUUAGGAAUCUUCCAUCGAUAGCUACCUCUAAUCCUCAUAAUUUCUCCAGGUACAUUCAAAGCGAACAAAUUAUAUUUGAGAUACAGCUGAUUACGAUUUAUCUUAUCAAUGAAACUCAUUUUAAUUACACUAAUUUUCAUUGCGGUUUGAUAAACGUGGACCAAUAUAGAAAGUAAAAAAACUUACUUCUCUUAAGCAAUGUUUAUUCUUGUGUAUUCUAUCAAAAUUUUCAAUUAUAGUUUGUCACAUAACAAACAUUUUUUACUUUUCUUUCAUGCGAAUGUUUUAUAUUUGAUGUGUAUGUGAUAAUGAGAAUGAAAUGCAUAAACAAUGAACCUAAGUAUUUUUCCUUUAAAUAUAAUAUAGUUAAUGUUAUCAAAUUCAUUGAUUAUAUUUCUAAAUAAUAUAAGCAUGACCAUUAAAAUUUGGAUAUACGUCUUCUUAUCUCUUUUUUUCUUGUACGGUUGAUUCAAACCUCUCGAAGAUCAAACAUAUGUAUCUUAAUUAGUUAUGUUUAAAUUAAUUGGGAUGUAAUAUAUUGUAAUUUUCUUAAAAGAUAGUAUAAGAUUAUAUUAUGUAUAUUGAUAUGACACAAGUUUCACAUGUAGAUAAAUUAAUUUAAUUAGAAAGUCUAAGAUUGAAGUUUGAAAUGUCACCCAUGGCAGCUUUAUCAGUUUAAUGAGCCCCGUAAUCAGUGGCCACCAAUCUUGUUUACUUUAAAUAGAACCAUGAUUUAUUAUUAUUAUUAUUUUCUUCUUUAGGAUAUGAGUAUAUAAUAUUGUAUCUAUAUAUCUUUAGUUUUAAAAAUAUGUCUAUACAAUUUUCAAUUCUUGAACUUGAAUUCAUGUACUAAAUUCUAUCUUAUCAAUUUAAAAUUUAAAAACAAUUUUUUUUGAGUUUUAUAAGAUUAUUUUUAUUUUUAUUUGGUGUGAAUGUUAAAAAUUCACGAGAAAACGGUAUUAAUAGGAGUCUAUCAAUAUCUAAAAUUUUAAUGUAUUUUAUAAAUAUUUGAAUUUAUUUUGUUAUAUUUGAAAAUGUUCUUAAUAUUUAAUUUUUGAAAAUAGUUUUUUUUAACAGUAUAAUGCACACAAAAAAAUCUAUAUUUUUACAUGAACAAAUUGGACAAAUAUGUGAAUCGAUCAAAACAUGAAACUUGGUUGGUACAACAUUUUCUUUUACGAACAGUACUUUCAUUUGACUAUGUAGAAAAGUUUAAGAAAGUUUGUUAUUGAAUUAGGUGUUUGGUCCUUAAUUCUUUCCUAACAAAGCCAACAAAUUUUUGUUUUAUUUUCUUUCAUUUUCCAAUUACUACAUCUUCCUAAUUUUGAUUUUUCUCUUAGCAGAAAUUAAAUGAAAUUACACACCUGAACACAAUCAUUUUAAGUUUUUAACAACUUUGAUUUGAUUUGAUGAUGUAAACCUUGCAAAAACCAAAUUUAAUACCUAAUGAAAAAAAAUACGACAUAAUUAUUAUGAAUAUGUAAUAAUGUAAGAGUUGUUCAAAUACAAAUAUUAAUUUUUUUUAUCCAUUUUGUCAUACUUUAGCUCUGAAUAACAAAAUUGUAAACACUACGUUGAAGAGUACAGGAGUAGUAUGAUUAUACUCUCAAUACAAUAGAUUAACUAAAUUCUUAUUUUCUUUGUUCUUUUUUUACAUAUUUAAAUUAAUUCUUUUAAAAAACAAACAACACAACAAAAACUAAGACUAAGACAAUAUGAUACAAAUCAACUUUAAAAAAUUAAUAAAUUCGAUCUAAAGUGGAAAAUCCUUCCACGUUAUAACACGAGACGACCAUGAUCUACCUUCUAAUAAUUACGUGAACACGUCUUAUAAAUUUGGAUCGGCACACAAUCUGUCCCUUAUUUACCUCCAAAAUUUUCUCCACCAAAUAUGUACCUUAGUCAAAUUGAUAUUGUUGUCCUUCAAUUAUUUGUCUAACUUCGUAUGCUUCUAGAAUGGAGUUUCAAGGGGAAGCUAAAAAAAGCAUAUUGUUUAGAAGUCUUUAAACUCAUGUUAUGUGCUACAAUUAUUUAAUCACUUUUACUCUUCCCAUUUUAUUUGAGGGAGGAGAUUUUUUUUUUUUGAUAUUUCCAAUGAUAUAUAAUAUUAAUAAUUUUUAGUUUUAUGUUUCUAAAAUUCAUGCCUACUUUUUUUCCUCUUCAAUUUUGUACUAUAAUUUUCAAAGAAAACUAUUGAAGUUUCGAUUUUUCCACAAACCCUAGUAAGAGUUGAGUUGCCAUACACGCUCCCUUCCAUCCGCCUUUUACUCACUCUUUUUUAAAAGAGUUUUAAUUUAUAAAACAUCGAUAGAUAAAAAAAAAAAAAAAAAAAAACAA